rnacentral:misc_RNA from 1 species
GAUGAAGAACGCAGCGAAAUGCGAUAAGUAAUGUGAAUUGCAGAAUUCAGUGAAUCAUCGAAUCUUUGAACGCACAUUGCGCCCGCUGGAACUCCGGCGGGCACGCCUGUCCGAGCGUCAUUUCAACCCUCAGGCCCCCCUUCGCGGGCGGGCCUGGUGUUGGGGCCCGGCCGCUACCCUGCGGCCGUCCCCUAAAUUCAGUGGCGGCCUCGCCGUGAUCCCUUGCGUAGUAAUGCACCUCGCACCGGAGAGCGCCGUGGCCACGCCGUAAAACCCCCAAUUUUCAAUGGUUGACCUCGGAUCAGGUGGGAAUACCCGCUGAACUUAAGCAUAUCAAUAAGCGGAGGA